rnacentral:rRNA from 1 species
AGGAUAAACGCUGGCGGCGUGCCUAACACAUGCAAGUCGAACGCUCUGUAGCAAUACAGGGAGUGGCGGACGGGUGAGUAACACGUGGGUAUCUACCCAAAGGUGAGGAAUACCGGCGAGAAAUCGCCGACAAGACCGCAUAAGCUUCGCAAGAAGCAAAGCUCGCGAGGGCGCCUAUGGAUGAACCUGCGGCUGAUUAGCUAGUUGGUGGGGUAAAGGCCUACCAAGGCGACGAUCAGUAGCUGGUCUGAGAGGACGAUCAGCCACACUGGGAUUGAGAACGGCCCAGACUCCUACGGGGGGCAGCAGUGAGGAAUUUUCGUCAAUGGGGGAAACCCUGAACGAGCAACGCCGCGUGCAGGAAGAAGGUUUUCGGAUCGUAAACUGCUUUUCUUGGGGAAGAGAACGGACGGUACCCAAGGAAGAAGCCCCGGCUAACUACGUGCCAGCAGCCGCGGUAAUACGUAGGGGGCAAGCGUUGUCCGGAUUUACUGGGCGUAAAGCGCACGCAGGCGGUCGUGCCAGUUUCCUCUGACAGGUCAGGGCUUAACCCUGGCAGGCGAGGAAAGACGACACGACUUGAGGACUUCAGAGGGACGUGGAAUUCCAGGUGGAGCGGUGAAAUGCGUAGAGAUCUGGAAGAACACCAAAGGCGAAGGCAGCGUCCUGGGAAGUAACUGACGCUCAUGUGCGAAAGCUAGGGUGGCGAACGGGAUUAGAUACCCCGGUAGUCCUAGCCGUAAACGAUGACCACUAGACGAGGGAGGUAUCGACCCCUUCCGUGUCGAAGCAAACGCGAUAAGUGGUCCGCCUGGGGAGUACGGUCGCAAGAUUAAA